rnacentral:rRNA from 1 species
CGGUAGAGUCCUUCGGGGCUUGAGAGCGGCGCACGGGUGAGUAACGCGUACAUGACCUACCUUUAAGUUUGGGAUAGCCCUGGGAAACUGGGAUUAAUACCGGAUGUGAUAAUAGAUAUAGAGAUUUAUUAUUAAAGCUGAGGCGCCUAGAGAUGGGUGUGCGUUUGAUUAGCUAGUUGGUAGGGUAACGGCCCUACCAAGGCUACGAUCAAUAGGGGGCGUGAGAGCGUGGCCCCCCCCCACCGGUACCUGAGACACGGACCCCGACUCCCUACGGGAGGCAGCAGUAAGGAAUAUUGGUCAAUGGACGGAAGUCUGAACCAGCCAUCCCGCGUGCAGGAUGAAGGUCCUAUGGAUUGUAAACUGCUUUUAGCAGAGACGAAGACCCAUCAUUUAUGAUGGAGUGACGGUAUCUGCGGAAUAAGCACCGGCUAACUCCGUGCCAGCAGCCGCGGUAAUACGGAGGGUGCAAGCGUUAUCCGGAAUCACUGGGUUUAAAGGGUGCGUAGGCGGAGAAUUAAGUCAGUGGUGAAAUCCUGUCGCUUAACGAUAGAACUGCCAUUGAUACUGAUUUUCUUGAAUUGGGUUGAGGUUAGCGGAAUGUGACAUGUAGCGGUGAAAUGCAUAGAUAUGUCAUGGA